rnacentral:rRNA from 1 species
UACAGAGGUCUCAAGCGUUGUUCGGAUUCAUUGGGCGUAAAGGGCGCGUAGGCGGCGAUUCAAGUGACGGGUGAAAUCCCUCGGCUUAACCGAGGAACUGCCUGUCAGACUGGAUUGCUUGAGUCCGGGAGAGGCGAGUGGAAUUCCCAGUGUAGCGGUGAAAUGCGUAGAUAUUGGGAGGAACACCAGUGGCGAAGGCGGCUCGCUGGACCGGAACUGACGCUGAGGCGCGAAAGCGUGGGGAGCAAACAGG